UACGUAGGGUGCGAGCGUUAAUCGGAAUUACUGGGCGUAAAGCGUGCGCAGGCGGUUCGCUAAGACCGAUGUGAAAUCCCCGGGCUUAACCUGGGAACUGCAUUGGUGACUGGCGGGCUAGAGUGUGGCAGAGGGGGGUAGAAUUCCACGUGUAGCAGUGAAAUGCGUAGAGAUGUGGAGGAAUACCGAUGGCGAAGGCAGCCCCCUGGGCUAACACUGACGCUCAUGCACGAAAGCGUGGGUAGCAAACAGG
rnacentral:rRNA from 1 species